rnacentral:tRNA from 1 species
AAACUAUGUGUAUUUUUGUUUUGAAAACAAAAAUAAAGAAUAAUUCUUAUAGUUUU